UACGGAGGGAGCUAGCGUUGUUCGGAAUUACUGGGCGUAAAGCGCACGUAGGCGGCUUUGUAAGUUAGAGGUGAAAGCCCGGAGCUCAACUCCGGAAUUGCCUUUAAGACUGCAUCGCUUGAAUCAUGGAGAGGUUAGUGGAAUUCCGAGUGUAGAGGUGAAAUUCGUAGAUAUUCGGAAGAACACCAGUGGCGAAGGCGACUAACUGGACAUGUAUUGACGCUGAGGUACGGAAAAGCGUGGGGAGCAAAGCAGGG
rnacentral:rRNA from 1 species